CUACGGGCUGCUCCAGUGGGGAAUAUUGCACAAUGGGCGAAAGCCUGAUGCAGCAACGCCGCGUGAGGGAUGACGGCCUUCGGGUUGUAAACCUCUUUUAGCAGGGAAGAAGCGAAAGUGACGGUACCUGCAGAAAAAGCACCGGCUAAUUACGUGCCAGCAGCCGCGGUAAUACGGUAGGGUGCAAGCGUUGUCCGGAAUUAUUGGGCGUAAAGAGCUCGUAGGCGGUUUGUCGCGUCUGCUGUGAAAAUCCGAGGCUCAACCUCGGACCUGCAGUGGGUACGGGCAAACUAGAGUGCGGUAGGGGAGAUUGGAAUUCCUGGUGUAGCGGUGGAAUGCGCAGAUAUCAGGAGGAACACCAAUGGCGAAGGCAGAUCUCUGGGCCGUAACUGACGCUGAGGAGCGAAAGCGUGGGGAGCGAACAGGAUUAGAUACCCGCGUAGUC
rnacentral:rRNA from 1 species